rnacentral:rRNA from 1 species
CCUACGGGUGGCAGCAGUGAGGAAUAUUGGUCAAUGGACGAGAGUCUGAACCAGCCAAGUAGCGUGAAGGAUGACUGCCCUAUGGGUUGUAAACUUCUUUUAUAUGGGAAUAAAAUGUUCCACGUGUGGGAUUUUGUAUGUACCAUAUGAAUAAGGAUCGGCUAACUCCGUGCCAGCAGCCGCGGUAAUACGGAGGAUCCGAGCGUUAUCCGGAUUUAUUGGGUUUAAAGGGAGCGUAGGUGGAUUGUUAAGUCAGUUGUGAAAGUUUGCGGCUCAACCGUAAAAUUGCAGUUGAAACUGGCAGUCUUGAGUACAGUAGAGGUGGGCGGAAUUCGUGGUGUAGCGGUGAAAUGCUUAGAUGUCACGAAGAACUCCGAUUGCGAAGGCAGUUCACUGGACUGCAACUGACACUGAGGCUCGAAAGUGUGGGUAUCAAACAGGAUUAGAUACCCGUGUAGUC